rnacentral:rRNA from 1 species
CGAACGAUGAACCACUUCGGUGGGGAUUAGUGGCGAACGGGUGAGUAACACGUGGGCAAUCUGCCCUGCACUCUGGGACAAGCCCUGGAAACGGGGUCUAAUACCGGAUACUGAUUGUCUUGGGCAUCCUUGAUGAUCGAAAGCUCCGGCGGUGCAGGAUGAGCCCGCGGCCUAUCAGCUUGUUGGUGAGGUAACGGCUCACCAAGGCGACGACGGGUAGCCGGCCUGAGAGGGCGACCGGCCACACUGGGACUGAGACACGGCCCAGACUCCUACGGGAGGCAGCAGUGGGGAAUAUUGCACAAUGGGCGAAAGCCUGAUGCAGCGACGCCGCGUGAGGGAUGACGGCCUUCGGGUUGUAAACCUCUUUCAGCAGGGAAGAAGCGAAAGUGACGGUACCUGCAGAAGAAGCGCCGGCUAACUACGUGCCAGCAGCCGCGGUAAUACGUAGGGCGCAAGCGUUGUCCGGAAUUAUUGGGCGUAAAGAGCUCGUAGGCGGCUUGUCGCGUCGGUUGUGAAAGCCCGGGGCUUAACCCCGGGUCUGCAGUCGAUACGGGCAGGCUAGAGUUCGGUAGGGGAGAUCGGAAUUCCUGGUGUAGCGGUGAAAUGCGCAGAUAUC